GAGGAGUCUCCAGCAGCGGUCCAUAUGACCCCACAGGACAGCAGCCUCGUCGUCGUUCAGUUUCUGGAAGACAUUCUCCCGUCAUCUUCACACUCACCACCACCGCUCCUACAAAAGAGAUAAGAUUAUAAGUGGGAACCCCAAACUGCAAACUUUGAAGUCUCACCGAGGGAGUGGAUGUGCUGCCUGGGACCUUUUCCCAAUUGGACUCUGGAUGUGCUGUGACUUGGGACUUCCCAGUGCUGUUUAAGUCUGGAUGUUGGUCAAAACCUGAUUUGGCAAGUGCUGUGGAAGCAACUGAGGAACUCUGGCCAAGGUUACCCUCUGCUGUGUUCCAAAGGCCCCACUGCUCACCAGUAGCUGCCGUCUGAAUGGAAUACAACAAAUCUCCAAGUAGUAGUACAACAAGGAUAUUACCUGUCCAACAUUUAGAGGAUGCUGAAACAAGUCACCUUAUCAUUCCAUGGACUCUUAUCUCCCUCCUUAAAUGCACCCUGAGAGAGCAGGCAAAGAGAAUCCAGAGCCCCACGAUGCCCCUGUACAGCCUGACGAAGCCAGAGUGGUCAUCGCCCCCUUUCCCCUGAGACUGGAUUCUCAAAUGCCUGAGAAGGGAAAUAAUUAGUUUGUUAAACAUGAGCAGGGUAUCAAGAGGGGCAAAAGAAUUGGCCCUUAAAAUAAAGAGAGGGAGGAAUGUGGUGACCCAAGGACUAAAAAGCAUUAUAACCUGUCUCCCCUCUUAUCACAUAGGGAGAAGGUAUUUGCCUUACUUUUUCCCCACCCAGUAUACGUGCCUCAUCCA